rnacentral:lncRNA from 1 species
CUGGCAUACUGUACAAACUGAAACAAUGUCUACAAAGCCUCUAAGAUUAUUCGACAUCAAAUGGGACAGGGCAUCGGCCUACCCAUAAGUCUGUAGUAAAACUCUGACACAAUGACUCAUAGACUCGGCUGCACUCCGAAUGAGGUGGAGUCUUACCGAUCCUUCGCUGAAUGCUAACCUCGUCUGCUAUGAGGGCUUGUCAAACUGAUUGUCUAUACCUGCAGGAAUGAAUGUAGCGUCCCCAACAAAAGGAGGUCAGUACGAAUAAUGUACUAAGUAUUUAAAGUAGAACUGACUCAACCUGUAAGUCUAGAUGACUCUGUAAAUCAUGAAAUACUUAUAGUGUUAUGCAUAUGUGUAUGAAUGUCAUGUCGUGCAUGGGUACAUGUGUUCAUAAUAUCAUCAUGCCUCUGAGGGCAUCCCAUCACAUCAUCUCGACCACUGUGGGGAAAUCAUCAACUUAUACCAGCUGAUUAGAUGGUGGUGCGUAUAUAACUCCAUAACCUUUCCCAUAUCCCAUAUAUAUACGCGUAUAUAAUGCCAUAACAUCAUCACGCCUCUGAGGGAAACCCAUCAUAUCAUCUCAACCACUGUGGGCAAAUCAUCAACGUAUACCAGCUGAUCAGGUGGUGGUGCAUAUAUAACGCCAUAACCUUUUCUCAUAUCCCAUAUACAUAUAUAUACGCAUAUAUAACGUCGUCUGAGUCAUGGGUAAAUGCACAUUAAAUGAAUGCAAUACAUGAGAAGUGCGUUAAUAAAACUUCUCGGAAUGUCAUAAGACCAUUAUACCUCUGAUUAAUAUCAUGAAAUAAACUUUUUUUUCAACUUACGUAUUUUUCUGAGACCUAUGAACGGAAGAUGUAAUAAUAAGACAUAUGGGAAUUCAAAAAUUCAUCGAAACAUUAUGUUCGCUACAAUUCAAAGUCUAUCUGGUUGCGGCUAUUACCCCAUCAUUUUAGGGAAAAGGACCCACAAUAAAAAAUCAAUAACAAGGGAAAGAAGAAUACAUAAUAUCCUACCAUCUUCAAAUGGAGUAAAAAAAAUCAUUUCCUAACUUUGUAAUAGGAAGCUAUGCUUUUUUUUGGUAAUAUUGUUUUAUGGAAAACAUAGAAGUAUAGGCCAGACUUACCCAGUCUGUAAGAAGAAACUUCAACGAAUUAUAAUUGGACAUUGUUUUGAAGUUCUAGCUUCUGUACUUCACUAGCAUCAUGUUGGCAGUGAUCAAAACUUGUUGGUGUGCAGGUACGCAUUCUGGAUGAAUCUCCAAGGAAUCAUAUUACAAGCUUUCGUUCAGCUUAGGAGCAAAUAGCAUGAAUUUCAUUUAGAGAAUUAGAUUGAAAGUGCAUCUUCUCUAGCUUUUGCAGUAAGCAAAGUAAAACUUUGUAACAUAAUGUGCUAAAAUCUCUUGUCCAG